GUCCCCGUCUUCCACCAGCGAGAGGUGCCGAGUGCGAGCCCCUCGCCAGCCGGGCGGGGAAAAGGCAAAGCUCACGCGAACGCUGCAAACGCACCUGUCACCGCUCGCCCUCCACAUAGCUGCACGUCUGUGACCAUCGGCGCCUCGCAGCUGGAGGUGCGCUGCUCAACAGCCGAACAGCACCACGCUCCUGCUGCCCUGCAGGUCCAUCACUUAGGUGUUGGGGCACUUCAGGCAAAGGAUUUACAAUGUCCCUAACCUGCAGCAAUAUCAUUGAAGAGAGGCUGAGAUGUAAGUCCAUCGAGCAGGAACGGAGGCUGUGCUAUCUGGGGUGCAGGGGCAAAUACUGGAGAACCUACAAGAAACGUUGAAGGAUUAAUACUUUGCUGUCAGGAAAUGAAGAGUAAUUACUCCUUUGCCAAAGACUGACUGCUGCAUUUUGUAUUUCUUUACAUAAAGCUCUAUAAAUCA